GAGACUCUGUGCGCGUGCAUAUCAAUAAGCGGAGGAAAAGAAACUAACAUAGGAUUCCCUUAGUAACGGCGAGUGAAGCGGGAAGAGCUCAAAUUUGAAAUCUUCAAGGUUCUACCUUGACGAAUUGUAGUUUAAAGAAGUGUUUUCUGUUGAAGUUUUGGUAAAAGUUCUUUGGAAUAGGACAUCAUAGAGGGUGAGAAUCCCGUAUUUGACCAUUACUUUCCAGCUGUGUGAUACACUUUCAAAGAGUCGGAUUGUUUGGGAAUGCAGUCCAAAAUGGGUGGUAAAUUUCAUCUAAAGCUAAAUAUUGGCGAGAGACCGAUAGCGAACAAGUACCGUGAGGGAAAGAUGAAAAGAACUUUGAAAAGAGAGUUAAACAGUACGUGAAAUUGUCAAAAGGGAAGCGUUUGACACCAGUGUUGUUUAAUUGAAAAUCAAUUCAAUAAUUUUUGAUUUUGAGUAGUAUUGACUUCAUCAGCUUGCUGCUUUCUUUUCCGAAAUUAUUGAAUGCACUUUUCAGUUAACAAGUCAACAUCAAUUUCUUUUGUUGUAAAAGGGUAUGAGGAAGGUGGCUUUCUUUUCGGAGAAAGUGUUUAUAGCCUUGUGCCUCUACAAUCGGAGAGAUUGAGGUCUGCAGCGUAGAUCCUUCGGGGUUAGAUACGUUUGUGCUAAGUUAUAGCUUUUCAUAGACAACUUGUUGACUAUGUUUAGUCUUGUAGCUUACUCGCUGACGCUAUUUUACCUACGCUUAGGAUGUUGACAGCAGUAUAGACUGU
rnacentral:rRNA from 1 species